rnacentral:lncRNA from 1 species
UGGCUUCUCUGUGGUGAUUAAUUUUUUUUUUGUUUCUGUCUUUUGCGUGCUGAGAUGAAGGGAUCAAUAUGCGUUUGAUAUGUUCUAUAGAAGCUGAGGUUUGUGUUUGUUUCUUAAUCCUCUUCUGUCUUAGAUAAAAUAGCUUUUGUAAUGUGUACCUGAAAAGAAAAGAAUUAAAGUCUCAGUCUUUGUUUUUUAAUCCUCUUAUGUCUUAGAUAAAAUGCAUCUUGAUAUGUUCGGUCUUUGUGUGUUAGAUGGCUGGAUCAAGUGUGCUUAAGCAAGGGUCAUUUGACAGAGGAAUACGCAGCAUCACAGGUUAGUCUUUCUCUCUUUCAUCUGGUCGGAAAUGUGCUGGUGUGGCUUCUGGUCUGUAAUGAAAUGGUCUAGCUUCUGUCUGAAUGGUAGUUAGGGUAAUUAAUGGUUGCUUUAGUGUUCGGUUAUGGUUGUCUCACCGUAAUAAAAAAAAUUGAUGGUGUGGUUUGAGUUAUUUGAAAUUGAAAAUAAAGCAUUGUUUGUUGUUAGUUGUUCGUAGUUAGAUAUAUGUUAAGUCAUAACAAUUGAAGUGUUCUUUCCAGCUUUGUUUUAAAGAUGAUUAAGUUACAUAGACGUGUUGGUUGUGUGUUGAAUGUGAAACCUCUCUUCUUCAUUUUCUUGAAAAUUUUAUAAGUUGUGUCUUCUAGUUCCUUCUCCAACAGAUGAAUGCGUCUUCUCGUUCCUUCUCCUCUUUCCUCUGUUUCUCCUCUUUCGCCUGUGUCUCCUCUUUCUCCUCUGUCUCAUGUGUCUCCU